UGACAGGCACAAUGCCCGGUUCCCAUUUCGCCACAAACAUGGUUUGGCCUUCGAUUUGCCAUAGACAUUGCUUCAGAACGUAGGCACGGGUGGAGGCAUUAGGAAUUCUGAAGAGAAAAGCGAAGCCUUCCAUUUUAGAGACAGUGAUGUCCCUAAACUGCUUACUCCAGAUGCCAUUGAUGAUUGUUUGUAUGGUACCUUGAGAGGGUGGAUCAGAGUAGAACUGCCCUAUGAUGAAACUAUCCCAUGACUUCCUGUUUUUCUCAAUAACAGAGUUUGGGAUGGUGACACAAGAUUCUCCUGAAGGAAGCAAGUAACUUUCCCCUUUCUUCUGGAG
rnacentral:lncRNA from 1 species